rnacentral:rRNA from 1 species
GGAAUAUUGGGCAAUGGGCGCAAGCCUGACCCAGCGACGCCGCGUGAGGGAUGAAGGCCUUCGGGUUGUAAACCUCUUUCAGUAGGGAAGAAGCGAAAGUGACGGUACCUAAAGAAGAAGCACCGGCUAACUAUGUGCCAGCAGCCGCGGUAAUACAUAGGGUGCAAGCGUUGUCCGGAAUUAUUGGGCGUAAAGAGCUCGUAGGUCGUUUGCCGCGUCGAUUGUGAAAAUCUGAGGCUCAACCUCAGACCUGCAGUCGAUACGGGCAAACUAGAGUGUGGUAGGGGAGACUGGAAUUCCUGGUGUAGCGGUAGAAUGCGCAGAUAUCAGGAGGAACACCAAUGGCGAAGGCAGGUCUCUGGGCCAUAACUGACACUGAGGAGCGAAAGCGCGGGGAGCGAACAGGAUUAGAUACCCUGGUAGUCCGCGCCGUAAACGAUGGGCACUAGCUGUGAGAGCCUUCCACGGUUCUCGCGACGCAGCAAACGCAUUAAGUGCCCCGCCUGGGGAGUACGAUCGCAAGAUUAAAACUCAAAGGAAUUGACGG